GGAACGGCCGUACUGGGUCUGUACAAUAAAGCGACCGAGGGUUUUGCCAGCAGCAGAGCCGGGAACGUUUCUCUGCAGGGAAAGAGCCUGGGGGAUGUGCUGUGACACUCACGAAAGCUGGCUGUGAAAUCUCUCCAAUCCCCGUCCUCACCCUGACAGGCUGUGGGACGUCGUCCACCUUUCCCUCGGGCUGGGCUCAGCCUCCCAUGGGACAGAGACGGGAACUGGCUGCCGGGGAGCUGGCUGAGCGCAAGGGACUGCCACGCCAGAGCUGUGUUCUCCUCUGGCCUCACCGCAGCCGGACAAGUCCCCGUGGGCUGCAGCGGAAGGGGCUGGACUUUCCCUCUUGCAGUCGGAGCUCAAACAUCGCGGGAUCCCAACACCCCUGAGCGCUUCUCUAGGGUGACCAGACAGCAAGUUUGACCUGCAGCCUGCACGCGUUACCUCCCCUGCACAGAGAAGGCAGGUCUACAAUCCUAUCUGCCCUGAUUCAAGAGAGUCCGGGUGAGAAUUGCCCAGGUUUACCAAGUUCUCCCUGUGGCCUCUCAGGAAACUUCUCAGAACAGAUCCAGCCCUCAGCUCAGAGGAUUGACACGCUGGCAGCACUUUUCCAACACAAAGUGUUUUAUUUACUGGAACCAACCUGUCCUAAUACAAUUAAUCUAAACUUAAAACAAAACAGAAGCAGAACUCCCUUUGCGCAGGUGUGCAAGUGAAAGCACCCAAGACUCUAAUGUCAUCCAGAACAACUCUCUGUUUUCUGAGAUAAUUUGUGUUUUAACAUCAGACUUUUAUUCUUCAACUAAUCAUUAAUUUCCUGUUUAGUUCCAUUUGCAUUAGUAACAGUCACAUAUUAAAAAACCUUAUCAGAUAUGUUUGUUUUCUGUUCACCUCAUUUCCACUUAGUGAACGCUUUUAUAAAGUGGUUGACAAGCUUUCCACUUCAGUGAGUUCAUGUACAUAUAUAUCCGUCUUCUCCCACAAGUGUUGGUGGAAGGGGGUCUGACACUUGGUGGGACGGUCUACACCAUGAGAAAAAACACCUCUAUUCGAUUUUCACCUUUUUUAAAUCUUUCACCGUAGCCAGAGGUGGAGGAAAAACGGUACGGCUACAUAAUACACAAGAGCAAACCUAAGAGAAUAAAGCAUGGAAUCAGGACUCAACAUCUGAGUAUCCUGCAGUCUGAACCUUUCAAGCAGGCAGCCAGGCUGGGAUCCAGGGGGAAGGAAUGUCCUCUGAAGGCACCAGCUGUUUCUCUCUUUGCCUCAUGAAACUCUGGAUCCAAAGGAUAAGGGACAAUUGUUCCCAAGCUAACUGUGAGAUUGUAAUCAGUGCCACUGAACUAGAGAACGUUGUUCUAAACAUAGUUUUGAGUUGCAUGCAGUUCUUCAUAGCUUCCUUCGCUGGUGUGAAAGCCAACCAGUGGGUGCCUGCUACUUCUCCUUGAAUUCCUCCCAAAUCUUUGACCUUUGUCAGGGUAAAUUCACACUUCUCUAGAGUAGAACUGUCUACCCACCCGUGGAAAAUCUCGGCAGCGCUAGUGAGGAAUGGCUUCCCCACACACGCUCACUUCAUUUCUUUAAUGUGGUGGCGCAGGUCUAAAUCAGAAAACUCGCAGAGGCCUGGGAUCAGAAUCUCGGUCAGCUAACAUUCAACACAGACUUCAUUUUAUACCCGUUUUCAGCAACUACCAGGCGUGAGUUCAUCGAAAAUACCACUUCUAUUGCCUCCUCAUCCGCACAGUUAAGGAGAGCGUUUUCCAAACCGUAGGAUCAGCUCAGAGCUAUCGUCAGGGGUGAUUUCCUGUAGGGCCUGCAUCACAACUCUCUGGGAAAUACAGGGUCAUUUCACCUAGUUCUAGCUCACUGGCUGUGGAAUUCGCUCUCCAGAUCACCUGAGACAACACUAACCUAACACAACUGAACACAAACAUGAUCACAUCCCUUUACUUCAGUUAGUUACACAAUCUGGGUUGUGCUGUUGUUCACCAUUUGCAAGUAGAGACUUUAAAAUAUUAGUGUUUCCCUGGUAGCGUGUCCAAUUGCUUAGAGUGUCCUCUCCAAUUGACAGAACUUUCUCCAUAUGAUCAUGAAGGGAAGUAAGAAAUGACUUUUAGCAAAUGGUCAUAUGUCUCAAAGUUCCCAAUAAUUCUGAGCUACAUUCUGCCAAACAAAAUUAAUAUCCAGUGAUGUGACCAAACAGCCUUUAGUAAGGAGAGAAAAACCCACAUCUCAGAGAGGGAGACAACAUUUUCAGUUCCAGAGCCGGUUACAUCCGAUGACUUAGAAUCAGGACAACGGAUUCUCUCAUCACAUUCUCCUCUGAUCUAUUCAAACUUUCUUCACUCUGCACUGUCUCAUUAUUACUGGGUCAAAUUAUUUACAAAAGUUUCAGCAGCAUCAUACCAAUGUUCCUGUCUGCAAACAAUCCCAACUCCGGCAGGGAAAAGUCCAGCGGUGGCUUCGCCGUUAAGUGGAAACAGGGAUUUAAACUCUGCAUGGUCACACUUUGUUUGAGGACAAUAAAGUGUGACACUUUCAUCUCCAGGCCUAAGAGUCGAAUUUGGGAUCAAAGAAAUCAAAGCACCGUUCCCAAGCCCAGAGCCCUGGGAACAGGGUGUGACGAAGUCUCCAUGGCAACUAAUGGCCAUGCAAGGGGAUGCUAAAGGUGUUGGAGACAGAGAGAUCAGGUGACCUCCUGGCCUGGAAAAGACACAAAGCCCA